rnacentral:rRNA from 1 species
GAUGAACGCUGGCGGCGUGCUUAACACAUGCAAGUCGAACGAUGAAGCCCAGCUUGCUGGGUGGAUUAGUGGCGAACGGGUGAGUAACACGUGAGUAACCUGCCCUUAACUCUGGGAUAAGCCUGGGAAACUGGGUCUAAUACCGGAUAGGAGCGUCCACCGCAUGGUGGGUGUUGGAAAGAUUUAUCGGUUUUGGAUGGACUCGCGGCCUAUCAGCUUGUUGGUGAGGUAAUGGCUCACCAAGGCGACGACGGGUAGCCGGCCUGAGAGGGUGACCGGCCACACUGGGACUGAGACACGGCCCAGACUCCUACGGGAGGCAGCAGUGGGGAAUAUUGCACAAUGGGCGCAAGCCUGAUGCAGCGACGCCGCGUGAGGGAGGACGGCCUUCGGGUUGUAAACCUCUUUCAGUAGGGAAGAAGCGAAAGUGACGGUACCUGCAGAAGAAGCACCGGCUAACUACGUGC